rnacentral:rRNA from 1 species
ACGGCUCAGUAACACGUCGAUAAUCUGCCCUUAGGUUUGGAAUAACCUCGGGAAACUGAGGAUAAUACUUAUAGGGGGAUUAUUCUGGAAUGAUUUUUCCUUCAAAAGUAAUGCCUAAGGAAGAGUCGGCGGUGGAUUAGGUUGUUGGUGAAGUAACGGCUCACCAAGCCGAAGAUCCGUAGGGGCUUUGAGAGAAGGAGCCUCGAGAAGGGUACUUAGACACAGACCCUAGCCCUACGGGGUGCAGCAGGCGCGGAACCUUUACAAUGCACGAAAGUGUGAUAAGGGAACCCUAAGUGCUUUGCUUUUGUAAGGCUUUUUUCAAGAGCAAAUAUCUUGAAGAAUAAGUGGUGGGCAAUACCUGUGCCAGCCGCCGCGGUAAUACAGGAGCCACAAGUGGCAGCCGUAUUUAUUGGGCCUAAAGCGUCCGUAGCAUGUUUAGUAAAUCUUCUGUGAAAUCAUUAGGCUUAACUUAAUGGCGUGCAGACAGAGACUGCUAGACUAGGGACUGGGAGGAGUCAGAGGUAUUUUGGGGGGAGCGGUAAAGUGCUAUAAUCCUCGAAGGACCACCUGUGGCGAAGGCGUCUGACUAGAACGGAUCCGACUGUGAGGGACGAAAGCCAGGGGAGCAAAACGGAUUAGAUACCCGAGUAGUCCUGGCCGUAAACGCUGCGAACUAUGUGUUGCGCAUUCUACAUGAAUGCGCAGUGCCGAAGCGAAGGUGUUAAGUUCGCCACCUGGGAAGUAUGGUCGCAAGACUGAAACUUAAAGGAAUUGGCGGGGGAGCAC